GCCAGGCGUGGUGGGGCACGCCUAUAAUCCCAGCUAAUUGGGAGGCUGAGGCAGGAGAAUCGCUUGAACCCGGGAGGCGGAGCUUGCAGUGAGCCGAGAUCACGCCACUGCACUCCAGCCUGGGUGACAAAGCGAGACUCUGUCUCAA
rnacentral:SRP_RNA from 1 species